rnacentral:misc_RNA from 1 species
GGCGAUAGAUUUAUACCCAAAAAGGUAGAUAAAAAGAAGAAAAAGAAGCUUAAGCAGGUUGAGGAGAAGAUACUUGGUUGGGGUGGCCUUGAUGAUAAGAAGGUGUCAAUUCCAGCUACUGUUGUUCUCCGUUACAUGUUUACUCCUGUUGAAAUGAGGGCUGAUGAGAAUUUACGUUCAGAACUGGAGUUGGAUGUUAAAGAGGAAUGUGUGAAACUUGGUCCUGUUGAUUCAGUCAAGGUCUGUGAGAAUCAUCCGGUCUGUGAGAAUCAUCCUCAGGGUGUGGUGUUGGUAAAAUUCAAGGACAGGAAAGAUGCUCGAAAGUGCAUAGAAUUAAUGAAUGGGCGAUGGUUCGGUGGUAGACAGAUUAAUGCUAGUGAGGAUGAUGGAUUAGUUAAUCAUACUUUGGUCCGGGAUUUUGACAAUGAUGCUGAAAGACUGGAGCAAUUUGGAGCCGAACUCGAAGCUGACUAGGUUAAUAUUUACAUCACAAUGGCGCUGAAUGUUUCUAUUGCCAUAUUUUGUGUUGAAA